rnacentral:rRNA from 1 species
UACAGAGGUCUCAAGCGUUGUUCGGAUUCAUUGGGCGUAAAGGGCUCGUAGGCGGCCAACUAAGUCAUACGUGAAAUCCCUCGGCUUAACCGGGGAACUGCGUCUGGUACUGGAUGGCUUGAGUUCGGGAGAGGGAUGCGGAAUUCCAGGUGUAGCGGUGAAAUGCGUAGAUAUCUGGAGGAACACCGGUGGCGAAGGCGGCAUCCUGGACCGAUACUGACGCUGAGGAGCGAAAGCCAGGGGAGCAAACGGG